AUGUCAUUAAACGAAGAAUCUUUGGCCUCAGACCUGUUGGAUAACAACCUGCCAAAUAUACAGGAAGAAUCUUCUCAAAGAGAUUGUAAUGCCAACGAAGUGGAUGAUAUUCCAGGCCCACUCAUUGAUGCCAAUUCCUCGACAGAGAGCCAGUCUAAUUCAUUGAAAGCUUACGGUACAAAACUACCUGAGGGCAGAACUGUACCAAAAACUACUCAGGCUGAGGAAAACAAGUCAGUUCAGGAUGAGUCAUCCAAGUCAGUUCAGGCUGAGUCAUCCAAGUCAGUUCAGGCUGAGUCAUCCAAGUCAGUUCAGGAUGAGUCAUCCAAGUCAGUUCAGGAUGAGUCAUCCAAGUCAGUUCAGGAUGAGUCAUCCAAGUCAGUUCAAGCUGAGUCAUCGAAGUCUAUUCCGGAUGAGGCAUCCAAGUCAGCUCAGGAUGAGUCAUCCAAGUCAGCUCAGGAUGAGCCACAAGAAAACCCUGAUGAUAUCGAAAGGACCGGGGAAAAUCCAGAAUCUGCGGAGGACGUUGAACUUCCUCCAAAAAGGAUUAAGUCAUCCAAGCCUGUUCAGGAUGAAUCCUCUAAGUCUGUUGAGGAUCAGUCAUCCAAGCUAGCUCAGGCUAAGGCACCUAUGUCUGUUCAGGAUGAGGCAUCCAAGUCGGGUGAAGUUGGGUCAUCUAAGUCAGCUCAGGUAGACUCAAUUUCUUCCACCAAUUCGGGAGAGGAUACGAAACCCCAAGAAGGUAAAGGGACAAAAUCCACCAAUCAGAAGAACCUUGGGGAGAAGACCAAGAAAGAUAAUGCCAAAAAGAAGGAUAAUAAAGGGGAUCAGAAACUAUCCAUGGAUGAAAAUGCGAAUGAUACUCAUCAAUCCAAGGAGCAGGUGAAAGGUGGUCAACAAGACCAAAAAGGAAAGCAAAAACCAACUGGUAAACAAGGCCCGGCCGCGGAAAAGAAAGCUGGUUUGAGCGUGGAUGCAGAGGCUGAGGUUGAAGUUGCGAGGAAUCAGCAGUCAGCUGCUGCGGAAGAAGACGUACCAGAAAAACCGGAUGAUGUCGAAAACACCGGGGACAAUCAAGAAUCUGAGGACCGCGUUGAACCUCCUCCAAAAAGGUGAACCAGAGUAAAGUCGUUGUCGUAGAAAAAUGUAUAAUUAUUAGAAAAUUCAAAAAUCCUAUCCGUCACUAAUUUAUUCACAUUUGUCUUUUUACACUAAUAGGAUAAACAAUGUUAACACGACAGUUGCUGCAAGGGACAGGCUCACAAUCUACUUUCAUGCGGUUUUGUCAAAGGAUUUCAAACUUGAAGAGGAAGACCGAAUCAUUAUCAGAGCUGGCGACCAUAUUGGGACAUGGAAAGAUAACUUGGCUGAGGUCUUUAUGUCUAAGUAAGCACAUAUGGUUUACUUACUGCUCCUGUAUCUAUGAUAAUAGCCUUUAUUUAUCAGUGUUUUACAAAGUAAAGUACAGUGUACAAAUACGGUACCAUAUUUCUGCUUAUUCUUUUGUGUGCUAUGUUUUGUCAAUACUGUUUUUUUUGUAUACAGGGAUCUUGGAGACCAUGGAUAUUUAGUUGAGGGAAGAUUUGAAACAACAAAAGAACGCACCUUGUCCAAAAGCAUACCAUACAAAUAUGUUGUCUACAAGGCCAAAAAGGAGAAAUAUGAGUAUGAAUACAUUUACAAAUUGGAUUCAGAGCAACCUACGAAUCGAUGCUUGUUUGUGAAGUCCGGACUCCUCAAUGAGGAAGGUAAGAGAUGCAACAAUUCUCUGUUCAUUUGCUAAAAUAUUGGGCCUUUUUUAACUUUGUCAAAUUUAUUUUUUAUGUGAAAGGGGACUGGCAUCAGUAUGAUGACAUCAUCUGUACAGCACCAUCCAAGGAUAUAUUCAAACGCUUGAAAAACGCUUUUCGGUCUGAGCAAAGGAAAAGUGUCGUUGAAGGCAAAGAGAUUGCAGGGAACAUCAUGCUAGACACCAUAUUCGACCUCCUUCGGAAUUGGACCGACAUCAACUUGAAGAAUUUCCUCAUCCAAUUGAAACAGUUCUUUGACAUUUAUGCAAAUCCGUUUGUGUAUGAAGACACGCACAAGAGGUGGAACUCUCUAGAAUAUGGAGAAAAAGAAGUAUGGAAAUUACUUCAGAUUUAUUAUAUAAUUAAAAAGCUAUCAAGGAUUAUUUGUGAUAUAAUUAUUUAAUGAAAAGAGCCAUAUCAAAUUGUUUUCGAUUGAAAUAUCGAAGCAUCUUUUUCUAUUGAG
rnacentral:lncRNA from 1 species